GUACGGGGGGGCGAAGCGUUGUUCGGAAUUACUGGGCGUAAAGGGUUCGUAGGUGGCCAACUCAGUCAGACGUGAAAUCCCUCAGCUCAACUGGGGAACUGCGUCUGAUACUAGAUGGCUCGAGUGCAGGAGAGGAACGCGGAAUUCCAGGUGUAGCGGUGAAAUGCGUAGAUAUCUGGAGGAACACCGGUGGCGAAGGCGGCGUUCUGGACUGCAACUGACACUGAGGAACGAAAGCCAGGGGAGCAAACGGG
rnacentral:rRNA from 1 species